rnacentral:rRNA from 1 species
CCAAUAGCGUAUAUUAAAGUUGUUGCAGUUAAAAAGCUCGUAGUUGAAUUUCGGGAUUGGCGUGUCGGUCGUGCCUUAAGGGGUAUGAACUGGCGUCGUCGAUUUCUCACCUUCUGGAGAAACGCGAUGCCCUUAAUUGGGUGUCGUGCGGAACCAGGACCUUUACCUUGAAAAAAUUAGAGUGUUUAAAGCAGGCAUUUUUUGCUCGAAUACAUUAGCAGGGAAUAAUAAAAUAGGACGGUUGGUUCUAUUUUGUUGGUUUCUAGGAUCACCGUAAUGAUUAAUAGGGAUAGUUGGGGGCAUUAGUAUUCAAUUGUCAGAGGUGAAAUUCUUGGAUUUAUUGAAGACUAACUACUGCGAAAGCAUUUGCCAAGGAUGUUUUCAUUAAUCAAGAACGAAAGUUAGGGGAUCGAAGACGAUCAGAUACCGUCGUAGUCUUAACCAUAAACUAUGCCGACUAGGAAUCAGACGAUGUUAAUUUUUUAAUGACUCGUUUGGCACCUUACG